CAUCAUUAUUUGUGGAUUUGACGAGUUGGCCAGAUCAUUGCUCAACUUCUUUCUGAGCGACUGAUCCCUUUUGUUGCUCUAGACGUGAGAAGUGAUAGAGUGGCAGUUGGUCGUGCUCUGGAUCUCCCUGUAUACUUUGGAGAUGCCGGUAGUCGUGAGGUCCUACACAAGAUGGGGCUGAAAGAGCGUGUGCUGCAGCAGUAACUCUAGAUUCUCCUGGUGCAAAUUAUCGAACAGUUUGGGCUCUGAGCAAAUACUUCCCAAAUAUAAAGACUUUCGUUCGAGCUCAUGAUGUUGAUCAUGGCUUGAAUUUAGAAAAGGCUGGAGCUACUGCUGUUGUACCGGAGACCCUGGAACCAAGUCUUCAGCUAGCAGCUGCUGUACUUGCUCAGGCUAAACUUCCCACGUCAGAGAUUGCAUCAGCUAUAAAUGAAUUCAGAUCCCGGCAUCUAGCUGAGCUUGCUGAGCUGUGUGAAACAAGUGGCAGUUCUCUUGGCUAUGGAUUUAACCGAAUAGCGAGCAAAUCCAAAUCUCAAUCCUUAGAUUCAUUGGAGGACAACCAAAUCUCCGAAGGGACAUUGGCAAUAUGAAGAUUGCCUUUUGAUAGAAUUUUU